rnacentral:rRNA from 1 species
GGAUGAACGCUGGCGGCGUGCCUAAUACAUGCAAGUCGAACGCUUUGUGGUUCAACUGAUUUGAAGAGCUUGCUCAGAUAUGACGAUGGACAUUGCAAAGAGUGGCGAACGGGUGAGUAACACGUGGGAAACCUACCUCUUAGCAGGGGAUAACAUUUGGAAACAGAUGCUAAUACCGUAUAACAAUGACAACCGCAUGGUUGUUAUUUAAAAGAUGGUUCUGCUAUCACUAAGAGAUGGUCCCGCGGUGCAUUAGCUAGUUGGUAAGGUAACGGCUUACCAAGGCGAUGAUGCAUAGCCGAGUUGAGAGACUGAUCGGCCACAAUGGGACUGAGACACGGCCCAUACUCCUACGGGAGGCAGCAGUAGGGAAUCUUCCACAAUGGGCGAAAGCCUGAUGGAGCAACGCCGCGUGUGUGAUGAAGGGUUUCGGCUCGUAAAACACUGUUGUAAGAGAAGAAUGACAUUGAGAGUAACUGUUCAAUGUGUGACGGUAUCUUACCAGAAAGGAACGGCUAAAUACGUGCCAGCAGCCGCGGUAAUACGUAUGUUCCAAGCGUUAUCCGGAUUUAUUGGGCGUAAAGCGAGCGCAGACGGUUAUUUAAGUCUGAAGUGAAAGCCCUCAGCUCAACUGAGGAAUUGCUUUAGAAACUGGAUGACUUGAGUGCAGUAGAGGAAAGUGGAACUCCAUGUGUAGCGGUGAAAUGCGUAGAUAUAUGGAAGAACACCAGUGGCGAAGGCGGCUUUCUGGACUGUAACUGACGUUGAGGCUCGAAAGUGUGGGUAGCAAACAGGAUUAGAUACCCUGGUAGUCCACACCGUAAACGAUGAGUGCUAGGUGUUUGAGGGUUUCCGCCCUUAAGUGCCGCAGCUAACGCAUUAAGCACUCCGCCUGGGGAGUACGACCGCAAGGUUGAAACUCAAAGGAAUUGACGGGGACCCGCACAAGCGGUGGAGCAUGUGGUUUAAUUCGAAGCAACGCGAAGAACCUUACCAGGUCUUGACAUCCCUUGACAACUCCAGAGAUGGAGCGUUCCCUUCGGGGACAAGGUGACAGGUGGUGCAUGGUUGUCGUCAGCUCGUGUCGUGAGAUGUUGGGUUAAGUCCCGCAACGAGCGCAACCCUUAUUACUAGUUGCCAGCAUUCAGUUGGGCACUCUAGUGAGACUGCCGGUGACAAACCGGAGGAAGGUGGGGAUGACGUCAAAUCAUCAUGCCCCUUAUGACCUGGGCUACACACGUGCUACAAUGGCGUAUACAACGAGUUGCCAACCCGCGAGGGUGAGCUAAUCUCUUAAAGUACGUCUCAGUUCGGAUUGUAGGCUGCAACUCGCCUACAUGAAGUCGGAAUCGCUAGUAAUCGCGGAUCAGCACGCCGCGGUGAAUACGUUCCCGGGUCUUGUACACACCGC